UUAUGAAUUGUUCAAUAAGUGACUUUUUAAGUUUGUAUGCUCAUAUACAAGUAUGUACCUAAUAAGACAUCAUAACGAUGUAUAAGAACGCCAACACAAUAUCUCAACUACAGUUUGUACCUUAUGAGGUUUUACAACUCACCAACGUUGAUCGAAUUCGAGCAUCGAAACACUUCAGCGAUAAAAUAAAAUGGACUUUAAUUACCUUAUUUUAAAACUCAAGUUCGUCCACACAUCUACAGCUAGAGUUCCAAAUGGAAAACUUGCAAAAUUAAAAUCGGUGG